rnacentral:lncRNA from 10 species
GGGAGGGAGUGGGUUGCAGCAGAUGUGCACAUCUGGAUCACCUGCCCCUAACCCAGCACACUCCAACUUCUCCAUGGCUUUGGCUUCCACAGGACAUUUCUCGGGGUGGCCUCCUCUCUGAGAACUCAAAAUUUUCCAGUACAGGCGCUGCCCCUAGAGUUCCCAGUACAUCAACACCAGCCUGAGGAGCCGGCCUAGUACUUCCCACCACUGAAACCGCAGUCCAGGCAGCAAGAAAAGAUGGAGCCAUCACACCCGAGUCAAGAAAGCAACACCAUUCCUCAAGUUGUGGACCAUUAUCCAAGGGAAAAUCCCCCUCAAACUAAGGAAGACAGCUACCUUGAAUCGCACAGCUGCAAGAAUAUGAACUUUGCCAACAACCUGAGACAGCCUGAAAGCAGCUCCUUACCUAACCGAGCCUCCAGAUGAGACCCAGUCCUGGCUGACAUCUUGACUGCAGCCUUGAGAGGACCCAGUUAAGCUGUGCCUCGACUCCUGAGCCACAGAAACUGUGAGAUAAUAGAUGGAUGUUAUUUUAAGCUGCUAAGUUUCUGAUAAUUUGUUACACAGUGUAGAGAACUAAUAUACUGGUACUACUCUCUAUUUUCAACAAUAUCUAUUCUCAACACAGCAGCCAGAGGAUCCUGUUAAUAUGUACGUCUUUUUCUAUUUAAAACAGUCUGGGGUCUUCCCCAACACAGAGCAAUAGCCACAGUUACACCACAGCUCACAUGGCCACACACACACUGUCUCACUGGCCUGGCCUCCUACUGCUUUCUCCUGGCUCACUUGAUUGAUACUGGCCACCUUUUCAAUUCCCCAACAUGCCAGGCAUGCUCCCUGGGCCUUGGUUUCCUCUGUCUGGAAUACUCUUCCUUCCAGUAUCCAUGCAGCUCACUCCCUCAGCUCUUGCACAUCUUUGCUCAAAUGUCAUUCUCUUGAUGAGGCCUUCCCUUUUUAUUCCCAAUAAAAAAAUUGCAAUACUCCUCCUACUCCACCACUCUUCACUGUCAUGUCCUGCUUUUCUUUUCUCCAUAGUACUUAAACCAUCUGACAUACUAUAUGUUUUACCUAUUUGUUUAUUGGCUAUCUCUCCACAGCAGGACAUAAGCUCCCUAAAUGCAGGAACUUUUUUAUCAGCUUUUUCCAUUGCUUUAUCUCCAGUGUUUAGAGCAGGUCUGACACAUAAUACAUAUUCGGUAAAUAUUUGUUGAAAUAAAUUUCAAAUAUUUAUAUGAAAUCUGCUCUUAGAUUAUAUUUCCAGCCAUAUUGUAAAAUCUUCCAUUUAAGUAUAAUAUAGGCAUCAUCAAAAAAACCUCAAGACUAUUAUUUACAUUAUCUGCUCUAACAACAAAGACAUGGACCAUUUCAGGAAAAUCACUUUCUACUGUAGAAGAAAACCACAUCAAUCCAAUUCAGUGAAAUCCACCACAUAUCCAAAUUUCCCUUUCAUUAUAUGGAUCUGAAAGCCGAACUCUGCUACCCUAAGAGUAGGCUGCUCAAUAAUGAGCUGGCAGAAAACUGAAGCACCAAAAUCAAGACACUUUCUAUACAACAAUGGUGUUCUCAAAGUAAAGUUCUAUCAACUUUCUCUAUGAUUGUAAAAUGAGAAAGCUGUUUCUUUAAGCAAUUUUAAGAGUAAGCUUUGGCAGCACCCACUUAUCACUAACUGGCAGAACUAAAUAUCUAAGAUCUUGAAUCUAGAAUCUCUACCAAUAUCUGUUGGGCAGCAGGAGUUGAGGCAUGAUCCCAUGGCCCAGCACCAUACUGAACAGGACUUGUGGGGCAGGGAGGUAGCAAGACCCAGGAGCUGCUGUGUGGCAAGCAGAAGUCCAAUAAUUGCACAUACCUAGAGAAUAAUCACCGGAAAAGACAGAGGACAGAGCCCUGGUGUAGUGGAAAGAGAGUGGACCUUGGAGUCAGAAAGACCUGCUUUGUUUGAAUCCAAACUCUGCUCCUGACCCCUCACCUUAGGAAAACUACACUACCUCAAUUUCAUUU